rnacentral:rRNA from 1 species
UACGGGGGGGGGCAAGCGUUGUUCGGAAUUACUGGGCGUAAAGCGCGUGUAGGCGGUCCGGUAAGUCCGCUGUGAAAGUCGGGGGGCUCAACCCUCGGAUGCCGGUGGAUACUGUCGGGCUUGAGUACGGAAGAGGCGAGUGGAAUUCCUGGUGUAGCGGUGAAAUGCGCAGAUAUCAGGAGGAACACCGGUGGCGAAGGCGGGUCUCUGGGCCGAAACUGACGCUGAGGAGCGAAAGCGUGGGGAGCAAACAGG